rnacentral:rRNA from 1 species
UACAGAGGGUGCAAGCGUUAAUCGGAAUUACUGGGCGUAAAGCGCACGUAGGCGGUUUUUUAAGUCAGAUGUGAAAGCCCCGGGCUCAACCUGGGAAUUGCAUUUGAAACUGGGGAACUAGAGUGUGUGAGAGGGGGGUAGAAUUCCAAGUGUAGCGGUGAAAUGCGUAGAGAUUUGGAGGAAUACCAGUGGCGAAGGCGGCCCGCUGGCACAACACUGAC